UGUUUGAGCUGCUGAGUCUUUGAUGAUUUUGUUGUUGUACUUUUGAUCUUCGUUGCUCGUUUGGGAUUGUUUUGGAUUGUUUUGGAUUGUUUUGGACCUGACCGUGUUUCCUGACCCUGAGCUCGGACCACGUUUCUAACGUUCACUCCACGUCACGGUGCCGAACAGCCUCCGGAGCCCCGAACGCCAGCAGAUGAAUCGGGGUGAAGCCUUCAGUCCAGGGGACUGAGAGGAACCAGCCAUGAGAUCAUUCCUCAAUGUUUCUGCCACAGCAUCUGCUAAAGAACUCCGUACCAACGUCUCCAGAGUCUGAGCCAUAAAGUCAAGAGAUGCCGAGGAGAAGACAGCAGUGGAAAAUGGCAUUACAGGUUGAGAAUGAACAGCAGUGGGAACAAGCUGAGCUGUGCUUAACGCCAUGGCCCGGCUGUGAACGCACAUACAGGGAGUCUGCAGCUAAUUAUGGGACUCACGUUGAUUUAUUAGGUGCCUUUUUGUAAUUGAAUUUAUGUUUUAAUGGUUUCUAUCUUUCAAAAACUUGGUUUGUUCUCUGACUUGCUGAAAUGUAACAAAUCACAACUGGGACACCAGCACUAUUGUUUUGCAUUUUAAAAGAAAGUUGAGAUUAAAUCAAAUGAGAAGCAUAAAAACCUUCACUAAUCAACAACAUGCAGGAAUUCAGAACCCGCAGUUCACUCUGAAGUGGUGUGGAAGGACGGUCCAGUUCCACUAAAGGAACGUUUUCAAGAUUAGUGAGAGGAAAGUCUGGAUAAUUAAAAGAAUGUUGGAGUAUUGUUCUGUUAACUCGCUAACAAGGACAGUAUUUAAAGGUAAUAUGGUCACUAACUUCCAUCCAUCCAUUUUCUAAGCCGCUUCUCCGUCAGGGUCGUGGGGGGUGCUGGAGCCUAUC